CCUACGGGUGGCAGCAGUAGGGAAUCUUUCACAAUGGGCGAAAGCCUGAACCAGCCAAGUAGCGUGAAGGAUGACUGCCCUACGGGUUGUAAACUUCUUUUAUAAAGGAAUAAAGUGAGGCACGUGUGCCUUUUUGUAUGUACUUUAUGAAUAAGGAUCGGCUAACUCCGUGCCAGCAGCCGCGGUAAUACGGAGGAUCCGAGCGUUAUCCGGAUUUAUUGGGUUUAAAGGGAGCGUAGAUGGGUUGUUAAGUCAGUUGUGAAAGUUUGCGGCUCAACCGUAAAAUUGCAAUUGAUACUGGCAGCCUUGAGUACAGUUGAGGUAGGCGGAAUUCGUGGUGUAGCGGUGAAAUGCUUAGAUAUCACGAAGAACUCCGAUUGCGAAGGCAGCUUACUAAACUGCCACUGACAUUGAUGCUCGAAAGUGUGGGUAUCAAACAGGAUUAGAUACCCUAGUAGUC
rnacentral:rRNA from 1 species